CUUCGCGUAGCACAGUUGGUUAGAGCGUCGCACUAGAGCAGCGAACGUCACGGGUUCAAAUCCCGUCGUGGAGC